GAGCUCGGUCCCUGUAGACCAAGGCUGGUGAGCCGGAGGGAGGGAGCCCGGGCGAGGCUGGGCAUAGCUCAAGGAAGGAAGGAAGACCUUCGGGGUGGCCUGAGCAGCCCCCAAGGAAGCUACUGUCUCAGGCUACUGUCAGAGAAGCAGAGAGUGCCUGGGAUGGGGUGAAGCUGGGCUCUGAAGGGAUCCGUGGGCCUGCCUUGUUUUCCGAGACGAACCCAAUAGAGUUCCUUCAGAGGCAAGCUCAAAACCAAUUUAGGGGGAGGCGAGGAAGGUGCCCUGGCCUGCACUCCUGAGGGGGGCUGGGACAGAUGGAGGGCUGCCAGCUGCAGACCCAGUAGGCUCCAGGACUUGGACAUGGGCUUGGUGUGGCUGUUCUGAUGGGGUGUUGACCCCAGGAACCAGACAGUGUGUCACGAUCUCUUGGAGGCCCCAUGGGAAAUUGUCCGAGGCACACUCCAGCCUGCCACCAGGAGCUUGGGGCUGCAAAGAGCUGGCUCGCCACAUUCUUCGUGACACAAGGAGCCCUUUUUAUUCUCCAGGGUCCAUCUGUGUUUGUCUUUGGUUUCUGGAAAGCAGAACCAGGUGGCGAUGUUAAACGAUUCACCCAAGCUUAUUAAAGCACGGCAAGC
rnacentral:lncRNA from 1 species